rnacentral:rRNA from 1 species
UACAGAGGGGGCAAGCGUUGUUCGGAAUUACUGGGCGUAAAGGGCGCGUAGGCGGCCUUCUAAGUCGAACGUGAAAUCCCUGGGCUCAACCCAGGAACUGCGUCCGAUACUGGAAGGCUUGAAUCCGGGAGAGGGAUGCAGAAUUCCAGGUGUAGCGGUGAAAUGCGUAGAUAUCUGGAGGAACACCGGUGGCGAAGGCGGCAUCCUGGACCGGCAUUGACGCUGAGGCGCGAAAGCCAGGGGAGCAAACGGG